rnacentral:lncRNA from 1 species
AUGACAAGUGGCACAAACUCUUCAGAAUCUGGCUUGUCCUCAAAAAAAAAUUCUAAAAUAUAUGACAACUACUUGAAAGAAAUGAAUGAGGAUUUAAAGUUAAGGAAGCAGGAGAUUCUAGAGAUGCUGAAACCUCUGGAAGAUAAGAACAAUCUCUUAUUGCAGAAGGUAAUGGCUAACUUGGAGGAAAAACAAAAGAGUCUGCAGAUAAUGAGGCAGAUCAUGGCGGGAAGGGGAUGUGACGAAUCUCCAGUCAUGGAGCUUGUUACAGAGCCAGAGGAGAGGAAACAGAACCUGGAAAAGCAACAGACAAAAAUAAAAUAUGAGGAACAACCCAGCAUCCUUCAGAAUGGCUUUCUUGACAAAGUGAUUGAGCUGAAAACUGAAGCCCUGAGAAAGACCAAUGACUUUAAAUCAUCACUGUACCUACAACACAAUUUUGAGCCAAAGCAAGGAGCUUUGAAUCUUCUGAGGCCUCAAGGGGCUCUUUUUUUCUGAAGUCGAUGCCAGAUGA